UGACAUAGAAGGACUACUGAGCCACCCUGC
rnacentral:piRNA from 2 species